rnacentral:rRNA from 1 species
UACGAAGGGGGCUAGCGUUGCUCGGAAUCACUGGGCGUAAAGGGUGCGUAGGCGGGGCUUUAAAGCCGAGGUGAAAUCCUGGAGCUCAACUCCAGAACUGCCUUUGAUACUGAGGAUCUUGAGUACGGGAGAGGUGAGUGGAACUGCGAGUGUAGAGGUGAAAUCCGUAGAUAUUCGCAAGAACACCAGUGGCGAAGGCGGCUCACUGGCCCGUUACUGACGCUGAGGCACGAAAGCGUGGGGAGCAAACAGG